CUCUCUCUCUCUCUCUCUCUCUCUCUCAAUCACAUCAAAUUUCUAUCUUUAUUUUUAGGGAAAUCAAUAAUUAUACAGAAUAUUAUCAGGUUAACUUUGGUGGUCCUGAUGCUGAUUCCUCUGCUUCUUGUGAUUUUGUGGAUGAGGAAGAAGAAACCUUUGAGCUCUACAGCUGAAUCAAAUGAACUUAUGGAGACAAUGGAGAUGCAGUCAAACCAAAGACAGGACUCAGCUGAUGGAAACAGAAAGUAAAAACAGCACAGUGGAGAGUGAUGCUGAUGCAAUGCAGAUUUAUAUUUUUACUUUCAGCUCCAGUUAUAUAAAGCUUGUUUGUCAGCAGCACAACGUUAGACUAGAAUUACAGCUUAUUUUUGCUCUUCUGUUACCUGUUCAGAUUAUGUGUAGUAUAGAAGUUCUUAUCCAAGGUGUAUUUUUAGAUUCAUUUGUUUGUAAAAGUUAACAAAAAGAUGCUGAUCCAGAAGAAAAUAUUUUAGAGCACUUGCGGCCUGUUUUUUGUUAACAAAAGAGAAAAACCUGCAGCUACAACAGCUCUGUAUAUUGAAGGUCAGUUCAGGUUGAUGCUUGUCCUUGCAACACAUUAUUACAAAGGUAGAACACAUCAUAAAGCAAAAAUAACUGAUCAUGAAUUCAGACAUCACUGGAUUUGAUAUAAAAAUAAAUGCCAAGAUUAUAAACUCUGGCAGUUAUCAGCAGCUGGAUAGAUUUACAAGCACAAUCCCAAGACCUGACACAGCAUGCUAUAUGUGACCUACAUUACAGCGGUCAUUGGAUGCAUAUGCAAGGAUAAAAAUAAUGAUGAGCUUGACCUCAUAAUGAUCUUUACCAGCACCAAA